UACGGAGGAUCCAAGCGUUGUCCGGAUUUAUUGGGUUUAAAGGGUGCGUAGGCGGACUUUUAAGUCAGAGGUGAAAGCCGGUAGCUUAACUAUCGAAUUGCCUUUGAAACUGAAAGUCUUGAAUUUUGUUGAGGUAGGCGGAAUGUAUCAUGUAGCGGUGAAAUGCAUAGAUAUGAUACAGAACACCGAUUGCGAAGGCAGCUUACUAAGCAAAUAUUGACGCUGAGGCACGAAAGCGUGGGGAUCAAACAGG
rnacentral:rRNA from 1 species